rnacentral:rRNA from 1 species
GACGAACUGCCCAAACGUUGUUCGGAAUCACUGGGCUUAAAGGGCGCGUAGGCGGCGAAUCAAGUCAGGGGUGAAAUCCGGCAGCUCAACUGUCGAAGUGCCUUUGAUACUGAUUUGCUCGAGGGAGGUAGGGGUCUGUGGAACUUCCGGUGGAGCGGUGAAAUGCGUUGAUAUCGGAAGGAACGCCGGUGGCGAAAGCGACGGACUGGACCUUUUCUGACGCUGAGGCGCGAAAGCUAGGGGAGCAAACGGG